CCUACGGGAGGCAGCAGUAGGGAAUCUUCCACAAUGGGCGAAAGCCUGAUGGAGCAACGCCGCGUGGGUGAAGAAGGUCUUCUGAUCGUAAAACCCUGUUGUUAGAGAAGAAAGUGCGUGAGAGUAACUGUUCACGUUUCGACGGUAUCUAACCAGACAGCCCCGGCUAACUACGUGCCAGCAGCCGCGGUAAUACGUAGGUGGCAAGCGUUAUCCGGAUUUAUUUGGCGUAAAGGGAACGCAGGCGGUCUUUUAAGUCUGAUGUGAAAGCCUUCGGCUUAACCGGAGUAGUGCAUUGGAAACUGGGAGACUUGAGUGCAGAAGAGGAGAGUGGAACUCCAUGUGUAGCGGUGAAAUGCGUAGAUAUAUGGAAGAACACCAGUGGCGAAAGCGGCUCUCUGGUCUGUAACUGACGCUGAGGUUCGAAAGCGUGGGUAGCAAACAGGAUUAGAUACCCUAGUAGUC
rnacentral:rRNA from 1 species